rnacentral:misc_RNA from 1 species
AACGCACAUUGCGCCCUCUGGUAUUCCGGAGGGCACGCCUGUCCGAGCGCCAUUACACCCCCCAAGCUUUGCUUGAUGUUGGGCCAUGUUGGCAAGACAAGCCCCAAACUUAUAGGCGCCUCCUGUUGGCCGCUAGCGUAGCAAAAUGUUUUCGCUUAGUGACACCAUCAGUGGGUUGCCUCUUUAAUUCUUUCUUUUCUCACGAAAAGAAAAACUCAAAAGUUUGGCCUCGGAUCAGGCGGGGAUACCCGCUGAACUUAA